rnacentral:tRNA from 1 species
UCCCAGGUGGCUCAGUGGUAAAGAAUCUGCCUGCCAAGCAGGAGACAUGGGUUCAAUCCCUGGGCUGGGAA